UGGAUAUGAUGACUGAUUACCUGAAAAAUAAUUGAUGAACUCCAGAAAAUUUUGAAAAAAUGAAGAAGUGAAAUCCAG
rfam:Otolemur garnettii contig027758, whole genome shotgun sequence.